GGUCCUCCUGGCAGAAAUAAUGAAAGGCAACAAAAGAGAUUUACCUGAUAACAUACAAGCUGCACCUGGAGUGCGUGUUAUGAUUAUUAGAAAUUUGGAUGUUGAAGAUGGGCUUGUUAAUGGGACAUUCGGAACAAUCACAAACAUUGUGACAGCCACACAGGAUGGACCAAAAACUGUGAAUCUCAUUGGACUUACGCUGGACAAUCAAAAUUCUGGGCAAAAAUUUCACAGAAAAAUACAAGGAUCCUCAGACAACCUGGUAUAUAUUGAGAAAUGUGAAGAAUCCACAAGUAAAAAAGGAGUUCUUCGCAGGCAAUUUCCAAUGAAGUUGGCCUUUGCAUGUACAGCUCACAAAGUACAAGGCAUGACAAUGGAGUCAGCAGUAGUAUGCUUGAAGCGUGUUUUCGAACCUGGAAUGGCCUAUGUUGCACUCAGCCGCACAACCUCACUUAAAGGACUGUACAUCACAGACUUUGAUGAAAGGAAAAUCUAUGCUGAUCCUGCCAUCACAGAUGCACUCAAAAAUAUGAGACAUGCAUCAUUUGAGAAUGCAAGACCACUGUUGCAAUUCUUAAAAUCAGUAGUUCCCACAGUACCCACGUUGACAAUUAUCCAUCACAAUGCACAAGGUCUCCCAACUCACAUGGAGGACAUGAGAUGCCACCAUGAACUCAGCCUUGCUGAUGUUUUAUGUAUAACAGAAACUCACUUGUCUGGAUCAUCUGUUUCUCCCCGCUUCCAGCUGGAACAAUACAACAUGGCCACGCGCAACAGACACGUCUCUUACACAAACCAUACAGACAUGGCAAAGGUUGAAUCGCCAGUCACAGCUUUGAUAGCAACUGUAUACAGGCCACCAAAAUACAGCCACGUGAGGUUUUUACCACAAAUGCAAUGUCUUUUGGACUCAUUGGAAAUGAUGAAUUGCCAACCAAUUAUUGUUUGUGGAGACUUCAAUGAGGACCUUAUGAGCAGAGGUAAAAAACCCAUCCAAGAACUGUUUCAGUCAAGAGGAUAUGCACAACUUAUUACUGCUGCAACUACCG